AUACGUAGGGGGCAAGCGUUGUCCGGAAUUACUGGGCGUAAAGAGCUCGUAGGCGGCUCAGCAAGUCGGUCGUGAAAGCCCGAGGCUCAACCUCGGAACUGCGGUCGAUACUGCUGUGGCUCGAGUCCGGUAGAGGAGAGUGGAAUUCCCGGUGUAGCGGUGGAAUGCGCAGAUAUCGGGAGGAACACCAGUGGCGAAGGCGGCUCUCUGGGCCGGUACUGACGCUGAGGAGCGAAAGCGUGGGGAGCAAACAGGAUUAGAAACCCUAGUAGUCC
rnacentral:rRNA from 1 species